GGAGAAGAGUCUGUCACACAAAAACACAAAAUAAUUUAUAAUGGUUCAAUGAAUGAAGAAAACAAUAUGAAUAAUCUUCAAUAAGAUGCAGAGAUAAGACCCUCUGGUACUAAAAGUAAUUCUGAAGCAAAAAGAAAAAGAAAAGAAAAGAAGAAGAAGCAACAAAAAAGAUAUCAGAUCUAAUAUCCCACCCAAUUUCUGAGUCAAGCCAGUGGCAGCUCAUCUUGGCGAUGGCGAUGCUUAAGAUGCAGAUGAUGACAACGGCGGUGAUGGUUAAGGACAGAGCGACUGUGCAGCAACUUCAGUUCUGUCCUAAAAAUGUUGGCGUUUCAUCAACGAGGACAAAGAACUAGUGAAUCAGACGAGAUGCCCACAGUCACGGAUGUAAGUGAUGUGGCUGGGCUAGGGAAAGCUGUGUGACCAGAACACAGCUCUCUUCAUUCAUUCACAUUCUCUCUCUCCCCCCUCUCU